rnacentral:rRNA from 1 species
UACGGGGGGGGGCAAGCGUUGUUCGGAAUUACUGGGCGUAAAGGGUGCGUAGGCGGUCCGCUAAGUUGGAUGUGAAAACUCUGGGCUUAAACCCAGAGCCUGCAUUCAAAACUGACGGGCUAGAGUUCUGGAGGGGUAGCGGAAUUCCUGGUGGUAGCGGUGAAAUGCGUAGAUAUCAGGAGGAACACCGGUGGCGAAGGCGGCUACCGUGGACAGAAACUGACGCUGAGGCACGAAAGCUAGGGGAGCAAACAGG